ACAGCAGUCGCCGCGGUAAUGCGAAGGGGGCUAGCGUUGUUCGGAUUUACUGGGCGUAAAGGGCGCGUAGGCGGGCGAAUAAGUCAGGGGUGAAAUCCCAAGGCUCAACCUUGGAGCUGCCUUUGAUACUGUUUGUCUUGAGUUCGAGAGAGGUAAGUGGAACUGCGAGUGUAGAGGUGAAAUUCGUAGAUAUUGGGAAGAACACCGGUGGCGAAGGCGGCGACCUGGUCCUUUUACUGACGCUGAGGCGCGAAAGCGUGGGGAGCAAACAGGAUUAGAUACCCCCGUAGUCCCUGUCUCUUAUU
rnacentral:rRNA from 1 species